AAAACUUUCAACAACGGAUCUCUUGGUUCUGGCAUCGAUGAAGAACGCAGCGAAAUGCGAUAAGUAAUGUGAAUUGCAGAAUUCAGUGAAUCAUCGAAUCUUUGAACGCACAUUGCGCCCCCUGGUAUUCCGGGGGGCAUGCCUGUUCGAGCGUC
rnacentral:rRNA from 2 species